GGCUUCUCAGGUCGUGUAAAGG
rnacentral:siRNA from 1 species